GACGAACGCUGGCGGCGUGCCUAAUACAUGCAAGUAGAACGCUGAAGCUUGGUGCUUGCACCGAGCGGAUGAGUUGCGAACGGGUGAGUAACGCGUAGGUAACCUGCCUGGUAGCGGGGGAUAACUAUUGGAAACGAUAGCUAAUACCGCAUAAGAGUAGAUGUUGCAUGACAUUUGCUUAAAAGGUGCAAUUGCAUCACUACCAGAUGGACCUGCGUUGUAUUAGCUAGUUGGUGAGGUAACGGCUCACCAAGGCAACGAUACAUAGCCGACCUGAGAGGGUGAUCGGCCACACUGGGACUGAGACACGGCCCAGACUCCUACGGGAGGCAGCAGUAGGGAAUCUUCGGCAAUGGACGGAAGUCUGACCGAGCAACGCCGCGUGAGUGAAGAAGGGUUUCGGAUCGUAAAGCUCGGUUGUAAGAGAAGAACGAGUGUGAGAGUGGAAAGUUCACACUGUGACGGUAUCUUACCAGAAAGGGACGGCUAACUACGUG
rnacentral:rRNA from 1 species